AUCCGAUUGGUUUAUAUCGCUGUCUAUUAGCCGUGGCCACGCCCUCUGGUAAUGCAGCACGGGAGAAAGAGAAUGGAACAAAAUGAAGGACUUCGCGGCAACCGAGGCUCUUCGUUAGAGAACUAGAUUAAAGGCUCCUAACAGUUUCCGUACGGUGAUGCACAAUGCCCAUAGUGGACAAGCUGAAGGAGGCCUUGAAGCCAGGCCGAAAGGACUCUACCGAUGAGGGAGACCUUAAUAAGCUGCUCUCCUCCUCGGCCAAGAAGGUGCUGCUGCAGAAGAUCGAGUUCGAGCCGGCCACCAAAGGCUUCAGCUACCAACUGGAGACGCUCAAGACCAAGUAUGUGAUCUUGAACCCCAAGAACGAGGGUGUGGUACAGAGAGCGGCAGAGCCCACACCAAUCAAGAGGCAAGGCUCUGAAGGCCUCAGUGGAGGUCAGGGUGAUGGCAUCCCCGCACCUCAGAAGCUGCUCUUUCCAGGGAACAAACUCUCCAUGAAGUGGGAGCGAGUGUACCGGGUGGGAGCGGGCCUCCACAACCUGGGCAACACGUGCUUCCUGAACUCCACCGUGCAGUGUUUGACGUACACACCGCCGCUCGCCAACUACCUGCUGUCCAAGGAGCACAGCCGCUCCUGCCACCAGACAGGUUUCUGUAUGAUCUGCAUCAUGCAGAACCACAUCAUCCAAGCCUUCGCCAACACCGGCAACGCCAUCAAGCCCGUGUCAUUUAUCCGUGACUUGAAAAAAAUUGCCCGCCACUUCCGGUUCGGCAGCCAGGAGGACGCUCACGAGUUUUUGCGUUACACCAUCGAUGCCAUGCAGAAAGCUUGCCUUAACGGUUACCCAAAGUUGGACAGACAGACACAGGCCACCACGCUGGUUCACCAGAUCUUUGGGGGUUACCUGAGGUCAAGAGUGAAGUGCUCUAUUUGUAAAAGUGUGUCCGAUACAUACGACCCCUACCUGGAUAUAGCUGUCGAGAUCCGGCAAGCAGCCAACAUUGUUCGUGCCCUGGAGUUGUUUGUGAAGCCGGAUGUCUUGAGCGGCGAGAACGCCUACAUGUGUGCCAAGUGUAAGAAGAAAGUGCCGGCUACAAAACGAUUCACGGUCCAUCGGACGUCGAACGUUCUCACGCUGUCCCUCAAACGCUUUGCCAACUUCAGUGGAGGAAAGAUUACCAAGGAUGUUGGCUAUCCAGAGUUCCUGAACAUUCGUCCAUACAUGUCUCAAAACUCAGGAGACCCAGUGAUGUAUGGCCUUUAUGCAGUCCUGGUACACUCUGGGUAUAGCUGUCAUGCUGGUCAUUACUACUGUUAUGUAAAGGCCAGCAACGGGCAGUGGUACCAGAUGAACGAUUCGAUGGUACAUUCUAGUAACAUCAAGGUUGUUCUCAAUCAGCAGGCUUACGUCCUCUUUUACCUGAGGAUUCCUGAAAAGAAGAACACGGACAGUUCAGGUGUUAAGCAGAACUUGGUGCAUUCUGGAAGGAGUAACAUGACCCCCGAGCAGCUGAAGAAAAUCCCACUUAACGGGCCCUUGUCCUCGCCGCAGAUCACCAAGAAGGUGGACACCGCUCAGCUGAGGAAGAUCCAGUCUGUGGACGGAGGACUGGGCGUGCCAUUGGCCCGUAACGGCUCGGGCAUCCAGUCGCCCAAACUGACCAACGGUACCCCGAGGGUGCCGGGUGGCCCAUCGCUCAUCGAGGAACCCAUCAAGAAGCUAAAGAAGCCUCCUGUUCAGCCACAGAGCCGCAACAACAUUCCUGUCUCAUCUAACGGCGUCGCCAAGUCCGAGCAGGACAAGGGGAGCAGCGGCGAGGGGCGGAGCCUGGCAGUGUCUACCUCACUCAAGUCCCUUGCGUCAGAGUCCUCAUCAGCGGACACCUCGUCUGAGUCCAAGGAAUCGAUUGGCACCAGAAGUGCUCCCGCAGGAGACAUGGCUACUCCUGCCAAGAGCAUCGUAAACAGAACGUCCUCUCCGGCUAAAAGUGCCGAGCGGCUUGCUCCUGAGGAUCAGAAAUCGGCCAAGCUGAAACCUCCCGCCCUCAACAACAUUGCAUCCGAACAGACCAGCACCAUGUCGCCCCCUCCUGCCAAGAGACUGGCGCUGUCUGCCAAGAAGGCCAGUCCCAGUCCCAGCCUCAGCCUGAGCCUGAACAGCAGCAGCAGCAGCAUUGAGGCUCCAUCCUCGUCAUUGCCUCAUCAGUCUCGUGACCCUAUGCAUUCAGCUCUAUUUCACCCUCUGACCCCCAAAUCACCUUCCCAAAACCACAGGAUUCCAUUCCAUUCUGCCAAGCAGCCUCAGCAUGUACCUCAUCUCUUUAAAAAUGCAAGCCUGUUUAAAGAGCCGUCCUCCUCCUCCUCCUCUCCCUCCUCCUCCUCCUCGUUUUUGAAGAAUCCCACACUUUCUUCUCCAGUCAGCAGGCUUCACCCCUGUCCUGCCAGCAACUGGGGACCAAUCCAGAGCCAAAAAACCACCGAAUCUGCCACAGGGUUUGCCGACGGCCUCACCAGUCCAACCUUGAAGAAGAAGAAAAAGAAGAAGAAGAAAAAGAGGCGCCAUUCCGAAAUGGAAAACCCCAUUGCUGAGCUUCCUGCCAAAAAGGAGCACGAUAUGCCAGAGCUCACAGCUGAAAAGAGAAGGGUAAAAAAGCGCAAGAAACAGAAACGAGAAGAAGAGCCAAACAGCCUGACAGUUCAGAGAGAAGUCGUGCAGUGCCGUCCAGAGCCAGCAGGCCAGGAUGAAGACUGGUGCCUCGGAGAGUCGUGGAGAAUAAACCCAGAUGGAAGUUCAGAAAGGCCAAAACAACAACCACAACGGAGCACAGAGCCAAAACCAUCUGAGACCCAAGAGCAAAUUCAUCCAGUGUUGUGUGAGACUCCACAGAACCAUCAUGACUCUGACACUAUUAAAAAGAAAAAGAAGAAGAAAAAGCACAAAGAGAAGCUGGAUGAUGAGAACAUAAAGCAUGAGACUUCUGAAAGAAAGACUGAGAUGACACACGUAGACACAGAGUCGCCGGAUUCAAGCAUUUCAAAGAAAAAAUCCAAAAAGAGGAAAAGAGAAGCAUGCCAGAUAGAGGCUGAGGAUGCUUUGGGGGACAGUGCUGGAGACGAGUCACUUAGUCGGACCAACCAUGUGGUGCCUGAGAAGACCUGCAAACCCAGCACAGCUGCCGUGGUGGUCUGGGACAGCAAGGUUCAGGACGGAUAUAAGCGCAGUAAAGACACUGCUGAUUCAGAGCAGGCGUCCAGGAAAGAGUCUCGUCCCGCUGCCGCAGCCUGGGACGGCACAAAGAGCUCUAGUGUAGUCGAGGAACUGCUUAAGAACGCCACCGAUAAAGCGUAUGGAACUGAAGUCCUCAGUUGGGAUGGAGCGUGCUCUGCCAUCAGUAGAGAUGCCAUGCAGGAUACCUUUGAUGCCAAACAUAACGCAGUAAUCGACGAAUGGGAUGAAGAGUUUGACAGUGGCAAGGUAAAGAAGGUGAAGAAGUUUAAAAAAGAAAGGAGAAGUGUUAACGUCUUCCAGAAGAUCCAAGAUCGGCGCAGCAUGUGGUCUGUCACACCAGGAGGAAGAAGGAACAGUUGGGGCCAUCGCUACUGACAUGAAGGAUCCAUCUUCUCUUACUCUGAGCUGGUAAAAUCUGUAUACACUUCCGAAGCAAUCGCACACGUUUUGCCUUUAUUUUGGUGCCAGAAUUAUUCAAAUACACCUCGAGAAACCUUGUAUAGUACAGAAGGGUGCCAACGUGUGCCAUCAUGGCACACUGGAGAGUGCGCCUAAACAUUCCUCUACAAAUCUCGAUACACAACAGAUAAAUCAAUCUUGAAACAGUUAAUGAUUCGAGAUAGAGAUCCUGUUCGCACACUCUGGCUUGACCGCCUUAUUGGAGAAGAAACUCUCUGAGAAUGUUCCAGAAAUGCAAGAUGCUCGUUUGGGAAGUAAAAUAACCCGUUGAGACCAAAGCCACCUGCAAGGGCUGAAGUGCAGUAUGUCAAGUCUGAAUCAAUCGGGCCUGGGUUUGAGCAAACCACCGUGUCGUGGUGUCGGGUUCAAACCGUUGUAAUAAACUAUUUUAGCCACAUAUAACUUGAGUCUAUGGUGAAAUACUGUACUGUAUCCUGCUGCAUCAGGACAAGGAGGCGUUUAUGAUAAAAUGGUGGUUAAUGGUGCUGUUAUUAUUGGGUUAUUGAGACACUGGGCCUACACUACUGCCUAGACUAAUGACAAAUAAUGAAUCUGCUUUUUUCCCCCCUCUGUUCUUAAAGAUGUUUCAUUUUAUUACGUAUUAAAUAUAAUAUUGUCCCAUUGGCCAGUGGUUUACUACAUAUAAGCUUAUGUAAGGCCUGCAUUUUUGCUCAGUAUGGAUUCUUACUGAUUAUGAUUAUAUGAGCCUCAUUGAAUCCUCCCUGAAUCCUCCAUAUCGCCUGUUUAUUGCCACAAAUAUUGUUGAAGAUAAUGUGGUUCCUACUAUAUCUGUUGUUAUAACCUUGUAUCCAAAAAUCCCAAGCUUGAUGCACCCUUAAUAUUUCACCAAUAGAAUGGAUGGAUGGACAAACUGACUAUCUGUUACCUGUCUUACAGGUUAUCAAAGGCUGCUUUAAUAUAAAAACAUAACCAUCCAUUUCAUCACUGGAGGUCUCCGACGGCAGAGCUCCGUCCGUUAGAAAUCCGCAGGGAAGGUUCUAGUGUGUAUUUUACAUUAUACAUGCCAAUGCCACUGUUUCUACUCUCUAUGCAAGUCCGACAGGUCUUAUAAAAAUGUUCUCUCCAUCUCGUUCCUACAGUGCAAACACACUCUUCAUCCCUCAUUGUCACUGCUCAUUCAUAAUCCAGAGUGUAAACCUUUCUCUGGAAUUGUAGUAUAAUGCUUUAGAACAAAAAGAUUUAUUUUACUCCAGAGACCUAGCCACAGACUAAUAGUGAGUAAGAUGUGAAGCUUUCUGGAAUAGAACAUUGUACAGUCCCACUUGUGCUAUGUGUGACUUCCUUAAACAUCCUUGUAGUCAAAAGUUUAUUCCCCCCCAGAUACUUCCAUUUUAGAAAAAGUUGCCUUGAAUUAAUUAAAAAAAAACAAAAAACAAACGAAUAGACGAUCCUAAAAAAAAAAGAUCUACUUUAACGUUUAAAAGUGAGACGCAUAUUUAAAUGCGCAUGUAUUUCACAAAUAAUGCCUAAUAUAUUAAAGGGUUUUUGGACUGUAACUGUAGAAUUUUCUCAGCGGACAGACGCGCGAGUGCUGCGCAGAUCUCGGCGUCUGGAGGAACAUAAGGACUGUGAACACUGUUGAAUGUGUUAGUGUUAGAAAUGUUACUCUGAACUUUACAGUAGAACCAGUGCUGAAGAAUACACUGAUCUUUAUUUCAUGAUCAUUUACACCACUGGUUCUAUACCUUUACGAUGCCCUUUCAAGACUAAGAAAAAUGUUUAUUAUCGAGACUAUAUGAAUAUAAAUAUACAGGUGCAAUAAAGUUGUGGGUUUUAUUUUAUUUUUAAUUUUUCAAAUUUUUUUUUUUUUUUUUUUGAGGAGGAGGAAAAAAAAAAUUCCUCUAGCCUUGAUUCCCAGGCUACUCCUACAAAUGUAUUUGUGAACAAAUAGCAAAAAAAAAAUGUUUUUCAUUGGACUGUUCCAGUUAUUUUAACUGAUGUAUUAAGAUUUUAGUUAGUUUUCCAUGUUUGGGCUUAUAUAAGGUAGUUCAAGUAAAUUACAGACAUUGACAAUAGUUGGAUUUGUAAUGUAAUGGUCCAAAUCAGGAAAAUGCAUAAGUUGUAAUAAACACAAUGAAAAUCUUAA